UACGCUUUUAUGACGAAGCGUUAUCCGGAAUUAUUGGGCGUAAAGCGCCUGUAGGCGGGCGAGUGUGUUUAAUGUUAAAUCUUAAAGCUCAACUUUGAAAUUGCGUUAAAAACUGCUUGUCUUGAGUAUGGUAGGGGUAAAGGGAAUUCCCAGUGUAGCGGUGAAAUGCGUAGAUAUUGGGAAGAACACUAAACAGCGAAGGCACUUUACUAGGCUAAUACUGACGCUGAGAAACGAAAGGUAAGGUAGCGAAACGGAUUAAAUACCCGUGUAGUCUUACCCGUAAACUAUGGACACUAAACGGUAAAUUUUUAAUUUACUGUUAAAGCUAACGCGUUAAGUGUCCCGCCUGGGGAGUAUGCUUGCAAAAGUGAAACUCAAGGGAAUUGACGGGGGCACCGCACAAGCGGUGGAGCAUGUGGUUUAAUUCGACGGUACACGAAGAACCUUACCAGGAUUUGACAUGCUAGAUAGUUGCUUGAAAGAGUAACGUGCCGUAAGGAAUCUAGACACAGGUGGUGCAUGGCUGUCGUCAGUUCGUGUUGUGAAAUGUUGGGUUAAGUCCCGCAACGAACGCAACCCUUGUCUUUAGUUAUUUUCUAAAGAGACUGCCUGUAAUAAACAGGAGGAAGGUAAGGAUGAGGUCAAGUCAUCAUGCCCCUUAUGUCCUGGGCUACACACGUGCUACAAUGGGAAAGACAAUGAGCUGCAAAUCUGUAAAUUUAAGCAAAUCUCUUAAACUUUCUCGUAGUUCGGAUUGUGGGCUGCAACUCGCCCACAUGAAGUUGGAAUCGCUAGUAAUCGCCGGUCAGCUAUAUGGCGGUGAAUCCGUUCCCGGCCCU
rnacentral:rRNA from 1 species